UGGUGGAGUGAUUUGUCUGGUUAAUUCCGUUAACGAACGAGACCUUAACCUGCUGAAUAGUAUCGCGAACCGGCGUUCGUAGAUGCUUCUUAGAGGGACUGCCACGUUUAGUGGUAGGAAGUUUGAGGCAAUAACA
rnacentral:rRNA from 1 species